rnacentral:rRNA from 1 species
GACGUAGGGCGCGAGCGUUGUCCGGAUUUAUUGGGCGUAAAGAGCUCGUAGGCGGCUUGUCGCGUCGACUGUGAAAACCCGCGGCUUAACUGCGGGCUUGCGGUUGAUACGGGCGGGCUAGAGUUCGGUAGGGGAGACUGGAAUUCCUGGUGUAGCGGUGAAAUGCGUAGAUAUCUGGAGGAACACCGGUGGCGAAGGCGGCAUCCUGGACCGAUACUGACGCUGAGGAGCGAAAGCCAGGGGAGCAAACGGG